rnacentral:rRNA from 1 species
GGGUCCGAUCAUACUAGUGUUAAUGCACCAAAUCCCAUUAGAACUUCGCAGUUAAGCGUGCUUGGGCUAGAGUAGAACUGGGAUGGGUGACCUCCCAGGAAGUCCUAGUGUUGCACCCU